UACGGGGGGGGCAAGCGUUGUUCGGAAUUACUGGGCGUAAAGGGUUCGUAGGUGGCCAAUUAAGUCAGACGUGAAAUCCCUCAGCUUAACUGGGGAACUGCGUCUGAGACUGGAUGGCUUGAGUGCAGGAGAGGAACGCGGAAUUCCAGGUGUAGCGGUGAAAUGCGUAGAUAUCUGGAGGAACACCGGUGGCGAAGGCAGCUCACUGGGACGGUACAGACGCUGAGACGCGAAAGCGUGGGGAGCAAACAGG
rnacentral:rRNA from 1 species